AGGGGGUGCUUACACAUGCAGUCGAACGGGAUCCAUCAGGCUUUGCUUGGUGGUGAGAGUGGCGAACGGGUGAGUAAUGCGUGACCGACCUGCCCCAUACACCGGAAUAGCUCCUGGAAACGGGUGGUAAUGCCGGAUGCUCCGACUCCUCGCAUGGGGUGUCGGGAAAGAUUUCAUCGGUAUGGGAUGGGGUCGCGUCCUAUCAGGUAGUCGGCGGGGUAACGGCCCACCGAGCCUACGACGGGUAGCCGGCCUGAGAGGGCGACCGGCCACAUUGGGACUGAGAUACGGCCCAAACUCCUACGGGAGGCAGCAGUGGGGAAUAUUGCACAAUGGGCGCAAGCCUGAUGCAGCGACGCCGCGUGCGGGAUGACGGCCUUCGGGUUGUAAACCGCUUUUGAUCGGGAGCAAGCCUUCGGGUGAGUGUACCUUUCGAAUAAGCACCGGCUAACUACGUGCCAGCAGCCGCGGUAAUACGUAGGGUGCAAGCGUUAUCCGGAAUUAUUGGGCGUAAAGGGCUCGUAGGCGGUUCGUCGCGUCCGGUGUGAAAGUCCAUCGCUUAACGGUGGAUCUGCGCCGGGUACGGGCGGGCUGGAGUGCGGUAGGGGAGACUGGAAUUCCCGGUGUAACGGUGGAAUGUGUAGAUAUCGGGAAGAACACCAAUGGCGAAGGCAGGUCUCUGGGCCGUUACUGACGCUGAGGAGCGAAAGCGUGGGGAGCGAACAGGAUUAGAUACCCUGGUAGUCCACGCCGUAAACGGUGGAUGCUGGAUGUGGGGCCCGUUCCACGGGUUCCGUGUCGGAGCUAACGCGUUAAGCAUCCCGCCUGGGGAGUACGGCCGCAAGGCUAAAACUCAAAGAAAUUGACGGGGGCCCGCACAAGCGGCGGAGCAUGCGGAUUAAUUCGAUGCAACGCGAAGAACCUUACCUGGGCUUGACAUGUUCCCGACAGCCGUAGAGAUAUGGCCUCCCUUCGGGGCGGGUUCACAGGUGGUGCAUGGUCGUCGUCAGCUCGUGUCGUGAGAUGUUGGGUUAAGUCCCGCAACGAGCGCAACCCUCGCCCUGUGUUGCCAGCACGUCAUGGUGGGAACUCACGGGGGACCGCCGGGGUCAACUCGGAGGAAGGUGGGGAUGACGUCAGAUCAUCAUGCCCCUUACGUCCAGGGCUUCACGCAUGCUACAAUGGCCGGUACAACGGGAUGCGACACGGCGACGUGGAGCGGAUCCCUGAAAACCGGUCUCAGUUCGGAUUGGAGUCUGCAACCCGACUCCAUGAAGGCGGAGUCGCUAGUAAUCGCGGAUCAGCAACGCCGCGGUGAAUGCGUUCCCGGGCCUUGUACACACCGCCCGUCAAGUCAUGAAAGUGGGUAGCACCCGAAGCCGGUGGCCUAACCCUUUGUGGAUGGAGCCGUCUAACGGGA
rnacentral:rRNA from 1 species